AAGUCGUAACAAGGUCUCCGUAGGUGAACCUGCGGAGGGAUCAUUACACAAUUAAAAUAUGAAGGCCCUUCAAACCGGCUGGAUUAUUUUUAUUUCACCCUUGUCUUUUGCGCACUUGUUGUUUCCUGGGCGGGUUCGCUCGCCACCAGGACCACAUCAUAAACCUUUUUUGUUAAUGCAAUCAGCGUCAGUAUAACAAAUGUAAAUCAUUUACAACUUUCAACAACGGAUCUCUUGGUUCUG
rnacentral:misc_RNA from 1 species